rnacentral:rRNA from 1 species
UACGAAGGGGGCUAGCGUUGCUCGGAAUCACUGGGCGUAAAGCGCACGUAGGCGGAUUGCUAAGUCAGGGGUGAAAUCCUGGAGCUCAACUCCAGAACUGCCUUUGAUACUGGCGAUCUUGAGUCCGGGAGAGGUGAGUGGAACUGCGAGUGUAGAGGUGAAAUUCGUAGAUAUUCGCAAGAACACCGGUGGCGAAGGCGGCCACCUGGACGAUUACUGACGCUGAGACGCGAAAGCGUGGGGAGCAAACAGG